UACGGGAGGCAGCAGUGGGGAAUAUUGCACAAUGGGCGAAAGCCUGAUGCAGCUAUGCCGCGUGUAUGAAGAAGGCCUUAGGGUUGUAAAGUACUUUCAUCGGGGAGGAAAAACAAAACUAAUAAUUUUAUUUCUUGACGUUACCCGAAAAAGAAGCACCGGCUAACUCCGUGCCAGCAGCCGCGGUAAUACGGAGGGUGCUAGCGUUAAUCAGAAUUACUGGGCGUAAAGAGCACGUAGGUGGUUUUUUUAAGUCAGAUGUGAAAUCCCUGGGCUUAACCUAGGAACUGCAUUUUGAAACUGAAAUACUAGAGUAUCGUAGAGGGAGGUAGAAUUCUAGGUGUAGCGGUGAAAUGCGUAGAUAUCUGGAGGAAUACCUGUGGCGAAAGCGGCCUCCUAAACGAAUACUGACACUGAGGGUGCGAAAGCGUGGGGAGCGAAACAGGGAUUAGAUACC
rnacentral:rRNA from 1 species